UAUUCUCAACUCUACAAAGCUUUUGCAAUGAAGAGUUGGAUUUGGAGGCUUGUGUUGGCUCGAAAGAGUUGACUCCUCUGAAAUGCAUUAGUGUGAACCUUUACGGAUCGCCUCCAGUGUGAUAAUGUCUACGCUGUGGUGUUGAAGUAUUUCUAGUGUUCAUGCUUCUAACCGUCCUCUUGGGACAAUCAUUUGACAAU
rnacentral:misc_RNA from 1 species